rnacentral:misc_RNA from 1 species
AACAAGGCGUACCUGCGGACCUGCGGAAGGAUCAUUACCGAGUGUGAACCCCCCCGUAAAAAAGAGGGGUUACCUCCCGUCCUUUGCUGGGAACCCCUUUCCAACUUGGAAGGAGGUUGUUUUCAGACCCUUCUGCUUCGGUGGGGUAACCCACCGGAACAACCUCAAAAAUAUUCUCAAUUCAAAACCGUUCAGUCCGAGAACUUUUUUGAAAAGCGAAAAAACUUUCAGCAAUGGAUC